UUUCCGUAGGUGAACCUGCGGAUGGAUCAUUCAUAAUCAGUGUUCUAUGGCACCUUUCUAAAUCCAUAACCACUUUGUGUGCGAUGCCUGGCUUCGCCUCUUUUGCUCGGCCCCAAAGAUCAACUAUCAGCCUAAGUCUUUGUCUGAAUAAUAUUAUGUAGUAAGCAAUUCAUAAUACCACUUCCAACAACGGAUCGCUUGGCUCUCCCAUCGAUGAAGACCGCAGUAGAUCGGAAGAGUUUACGUUUGAACUACACUCACUACCUUCGAGCUCGUAUU
rnacentral:misc_RNA from 1 species